GCCAGGUGUGGUGGCACCCACCUGUAGUCCCAGCUACUCGGGAGGCUGAGGCAGGAGAAUUGCGUGAACCUGGGAGGCGGAGGUUGCAGUAAGCUGAGAUCAUGCCAUUGCACUCCAGCCUGGAGACAAAGCGAGAUUCCACCUCAAAAAAGAAAAAAGAAAAAANNNNNNNNNNUUUUUUGUAGAUGGAGUCUCACUCUGUCGCCCAGGCUGGAGUGCAGUGGCAUGAUCUCAGCUCACUGCAAGCUCUGCCUCCCGGGUUCUCGCCAUUCUCCUGCCUCAG
rnacentral:SRP_RNA from 1 species